AGGUAUGUGGUUUAAUUCGAUGCAACGCGAAGAACCUUACCUGGUCUUGACAUCCCGGAGACCCUUAGGAAACUAGGGGGUGCUUCCAUCUGGAAGAAUCUGGAGACAGGUGCUGCAUGGCUGUCGUCAGCUCGUGUCGUGAGAUGUUGGGUUAAGUCCCGCAACGAGCGCAACCCUUGCCUUUAGUUGCCAGCAGUUCGGCUGGGCACUCUAAAGGGACUGCCGGUGUUAAACCGGAGGAAGGUGGGGAUGACGUCAAGUCCUCAUGGCCUUUAUGACCAGGGCUACACACGUACUACAAUGGCCGAUACAAAGGGCAGCGACACUGCGAGGUGAAGCCAAUCCCGUAAAAUCGGUCUCAGUCCGGAUUGGAGUCUGCAACUCGACUCCAUGAAGUUGGAAUCGCUAGUAAUCGUGGAUCAGCAUGCCACGGUGAAUACGUUCCCGGGCCUU
rnacentral:rRNA from 1 species